rnacentral:misc_RNA from 1 species
UCACGGUCGGCCUUGAUCCAUUGCAAUUAAACCCGGCUCUUUUGGGGGGAAAAUCUUGCCGCCGGGCAGAAAGCCCCCGGUUCCACGCCCUUCUCCGCCAUGGCCGUUAUCCAGCAAGCCAUUGAAAUAUAUCGUCUUUAUAAUCCAUUGCCGGUGGCCCGGUCCUUGCUCAACAGAGGAAGCAAUCACCUGAAAGGCCGCCCGUGUUCAGCGUUACCCCGGAACCAGCCGCAUCCAAGC